UUGGAAGGGACACCAAAGAUCACCCAUCUCCAACCCCCUGCUGUGGACAGGGCUGCCACUCACCAGCUCAGGCUGCCCAGGCCCCAUCCAGCCUGGCCUUGAGCACCUUCAGGGACAGGUCCAAGUGUGGUCCUGUGUAUCUGAGCUCUGGCACUGCCCCUGGGUACAGCUGUGUUUUGGAGCCACAGAGCAGCCUUUGCAGAUGAAGCUGAGUGCUUUCCUCCACCCUGAAGACACAGCUGUGAUCAGCAGAUCUGUCCAGCAGGGAAGGUGAAAUACAGAAGAGGAUGUUGAUCUACUGACGUAAAGGAUGAUUUUCCCACUGUUCUGGGAGAACUUUAGAUUUUAUUCACUUCUUUCCUUUUUAACCAAAAGUAAGGGGAGAAAAACAAUGAGAAAGAAAAUUAAAGCCAAUGUGGGGAAUAAUGACAACACAUAACAACUGGAAAUCUGGCCCAAUACACAACUGAAUGAACAGAGUCUGGUAAAAUUUGUCCCAAGCUUCAAAACUGCUUUUUCUUGGUUGUAAGUAGGAAGUACUCCUUUAUUCCUGAUAUCAUUUUAGAAAAGAAAACAAUGCAAAGUAUUUGCAAAUUAUGCGAGUUUAUGAACUGUUUUUUGUAAUUAUAAGCUACAACUGAUAAAAUGGAGUACAGGUCUGCUGUCCAGAAGGAUCUCUACAGGGUGGGAACAUCAGGUGGGAAGUUCAGCAAAGACAAAUGCCAAGUCCUGCAACUGCGUUUGAGAUCAUGCUAGUAGCUAACAGGGAAAUCCAGCUGUCCCAGUGGAUAUCAAACUGAACGUAAAGCAGCACUGUGACCAAAGAUGAGGACCAACUGCAUCGUGAGCUGUAUGUGCAGUAUCACAGUCAGAAGAUCAAAGGAAGUGGUUAAACUCCUUGCCAAUCACAUGUGAGGCCACUUCUAGAGCACUGUCCCUAGCCUGGGCUCCCUACUACAAGAGGUGCGGACAUGCUUAAGAGUCCAGAGGAAUAUAAGUGAGGGGAGCUGGAGCAUAUUGCAUAAUAUAUGAAAUUAAAGGAGUUGGACUUAGCCUGAAGAAAGAAUAUGAAAUGGGAAAUUAACUACUAUCUUUCACCAUAUGAAGAAGGGCUGCAGAAGACAUGACAUCAGACUCUUCUCACAUGUGCACUACUAAGAAAAAAAAGGCAACAGGCACAAGUUGACACAAAAAUUCGGAUUGAAUGUAAGGAAAAAAAUUCACAAUGAUGAGCACCAAAUCCUGGAACAUCUUGCCUAAAGAUUUUAUGUGAUCAACAUCCUUGAAGGUUUUCAAAAUUAGUCCAGACAACUGGCUCUGAGCAACUUGAUCCAGAUCUGAAGCCAGAAUUGUUUUAAGUAGUGCUUAGAUUAGAGAUCUCUAGAUCUUCCUUCAAAACACUUUGGGGUUUAUGUAAGGUUUAAAAUAUUGCUAAAUUCCAUAGAAAAUUUCGAAAAAUAAGAGACAUUACCGUAAGUUUUAUAAUGAUCUAGCCUGAGCAGGGACAAUGCAAGGGGCCAUUGUGUUUAUGAAUGGAUAAUGGUCAAC